AAGCUGAACACUCCCUGCCUUGCUCAGUUCAGGGAACUAACUUGAUUGCAUUUCGGUUCACUUGCCGUUCUGCUUUAUUCAGUCCGUGCUCGUGGCGUGCUAGCUGGAUACAAUCAACAGAGGCUCGCUUCCAUUUGGGAUUAAAACUGCACCAGGUGUCCCUAAAAGUUGCCAAAACUACAAUAUGGCCAGUUACCGUUUCCUUCUUCUGUUCUCUGUGAUGUUGGUACCAGCUUCUGUUUAUGGAGAAGGUUUCUCAGGGAUUGCAGCCACCGGCAAAGUUCACAAACGUUUCAGGAGAGAGUGGAUCUGGAAUAAGAUGCACAUUUCAGAAGAGAAGAACGAAACCCUGCCACAUCAUGUCGGGAGGAUCAUAUCAAGCAUUCAGAACCCCAAUGCUAUGUACUUGCUUGAGGGGGAUGGCGCCAACAGUAUAUUCAAAGUUGAUGAACAUACUGGAGACGUGUCUGCUUAUGAGAGGCUGGACCGAGAACAGAAAGCCGAGUAUCAGCUGAUGGCCCACAUUCUCGACCGAACGACCAAUAAGUCGUUGGAACCACCCUCCAAAUUCCGUAUCAUCGUCCAGGAUGUGAAUGACAAUGCCCCUAUAUUUGUUCAACGAGUGUUUAAUGGAUCUGUCUUGGAAAUGUCACCCGUAGGAACUUCAGUCACCACAGUGACAGCCGUAGAUGCCGACGACCCAACUCUUCUUGGCUAUGCCGACGUGGACUACAAAGUGAUUAAGGGUGAAAACUAUUUCAGAAUAGAUAAGUCAGGAGUCAUCCGUACAGCAGUAGCUAAUCUGGACCGAGAAAAGAAAGCUACCUAUGAAAUCGUGGUGCGGGCCAUCGACGGCAAAGGUCUACAGGCUGCAGAGUCGGGCACUGCUACAGUGCGCAUCACACUGAUUGACAUCAAUGACAACUCCCCAAUCUUUAAUCCAACAACAUACCAUUUUGAAGUACUUGAAAAUAUCACCUUAAAUGGUGAAGUGGGCAAACUGAAAGUUGAAGAUAUCGAUGAGCCUCAGAACAGAAACACAAAGUACAGUUUUGCUGGCGGAAACUUCCAAGACACUUUCCUGAUCAUACCAAAGCCAUAUACAAAUGAAGGAAUAAUUAAACCCAAGAAGCCCUUAGACUUUGAAAAAAUAUCCUCCUACCAGUUUCGUGUCGAAGCAACCGAUGGUGAUAUACCCUACUUCAAUUCCAAGACGAAAGGAUCCAAGAGUAUAGCAACCGUAAACAUCAGAGUUAUUGAUGUUGAUGAACCCCCCAUCUUUGAAAAGCCUUCAUACAUGUUUGAAGUGCUGGAAGACAGUGAUAUCAAAGUGCCCAUUGGACACGUUUCUGCAACUGACCCUGAUCGAGCAAAACGAGAAAUAAGGUAUCGUGUCUUAAGAUCCAACUAUUUCAAAAUAUCCAACAGUGGGUAUAUUUUUGCUGAGAGACCUCUAGACAGAGAAGAACAUUCCUGGCAUAAUAUAACGGUGGCAGCCAAUGAAAUAGAGCAUGGAAGAAUAUUAACCCAGUUAGAAACUCACGUCCAAGUUUACAUCAAAGUUCUUGACAGAAACGACAAUGCGCCAGAAUUCGCAGAACCGUAUCAACCAGGAGUCUGCGAGAAUGCCUCACCAGGAAAGGUGAUUAUCAGAAUUUCUGCUGUGGAUAAGGAUGAAAUGCUGCCUGGCAUGAAAUUCACAUAUUCUUUAACCUCUGAAGAAAGCAACUUCACUCUGAUUGACAAUCAUGAUAACACUGCGAACAUCACUGUCAAAUACGGAGAGUUUAAUCGGGAGCUAGUCAAAAUCCAUUACUUGCCUAUCAUCAUCUCUGACAAUGGCUCACCCAAGCAGAGCAGCACGAACACCCUCACCAUCCAGGUCUGUAAGUGUGACCAGGCUGGCAAGUUCACAUUUUGCGAAGAAGCAACGAAGCAAGUCGGAGUCAGCAUCCAAGUCCUGGUGGCCAUCUUUGUCUGCAUCCUCACCAUAUUUGUUAUUGUGUUGCUAAUAGUCCUCAGAAGGAGGCACAAGAAAGAUCUGAAUGUCCUCCGGAAGAACGUGGCUGAGAUCCAUGAACAACUGGUGGCCUAUGAUGAAGAAGGCGGUGGUGAAAUGGACACCACCAGUUACGAUGUGUCGAUCCUCAAUUCGGUCCGCCAAAGUGGUAUGACAUCACCGAGGAUGACUCAGGACCCCAGACCCUGUGUAUACUCCCAGGUUCAAAAGCCACCCAGACAUGGACAUGGACUUUCUGGCACUGGAGAAAUGGCCAUUAUGAUUGAAAUGAAAAAAGAUGAAGCUGACAAUGACGGGGAUUUGCUUCCAUAUGACACUCUUCACAUCUUUGGCUAUGAAGGGGCAGAGUCCAUUGCAGAAUCUCUAAGCUCUUUGGGAUCGGGCUCCUCCGACUCUGAUAUUGAUUAUGACUUCCUGAACGACUGGGGUCCAAGAUUUAAGAUGCUGGCAGAGCUUUAUGGACUGGAAGCCGAUGAAGAUUUUGCAUAUUGAGUUGGACUUCUGGCAGAUUGUCCGAAACUUAAGCCAUGAGCAAAGUACUGAGAGACUGCAAAUUCAUAAGGCAGCAACUACCAUAUUUUCAUGCAUUUUCAGAGCAGGUUUAUGUGACCAGGAUCAAAGAAACUGAAAUGAAAUCCCAUUGCAUGCUGGGAGAAGAAUGCAUUUCUCUUUACCUGGAAACAUAUUUAAUUUUUUAAAAGCAAGAAGCAUCUUUCUUCUUGUAUAAUGUCAGAGAUUUCCCUGACGUUCCCGGAUUUUUCAGUAUUCCAGGAGGUUUUGUUGCCAGUUUCAACCUAUCAUAAGAUUCAUCAUCAGACAAUUAUAUUACACAGGCAAGCUUUAUCUCCAUUUUCCUGACAGGAAAAUACAACUGAGAGCCUCACUACAUGUGGUGUUUUCUAUGUGACCUCCCUGAGUCAACAGCAAGGACUGAAAGUCAGAAAUUAACCAUGAUUUCCCCAUCAGGAAUACCCUCACACAUGGGAGUUCAAUUUGGAUUGGAUCCACAGCAUGCAGGGAGAUGCAGUUUCAGCCUUCCUUCACUAUGUUAUUUUCCCAACUUGAAACAGUCUUGGGGUACUAUUGUCCCAUCAAGGAAACCUUUGUGUAUCCCAUCAAUACAUAUGCAGCCCCUAAUGGAGGAAAUAACACCUCCUAUGAUCAUUUCAACUUAGGCCUUUUCCACAUAAGUUGGUUACAUUUCCAGUUUUGCCUCAGUUUUUCCGUGGAGUUCCACACAUUUCCCCCCCCCCCCCCCAUUUUGGUUCCAGAAACAUUUCCAACAAACUUUUGCUUCAUUGAUUGUGGUGGGUUUUCCAGGCUUUUUUGUGGUGGGUUUUUCUUCAACAAUACAUCUUGUUUCUGAAGACACUUUUACCGCCAUGUUUUUUCCUGAAACAUUUCCAAGCUAGCUUCCUUCACAGUGCAAUCAUACUGAAAUGAUUUUUUCCCCGCCAAAAAACCCUAACUGUUAUCCACAUCUCCCCUUUGACACUUGUGCCACCAUUUUUCUGUCCCUCACUUCACUGCUUCUCCCCUCUCCUCUUAUUUUAAUCAUUUCUUCUUUAUCCUCUCAAUUUGGGGGGAUCAUCAAAUCAGCGGUGCUAUGAAUAAUCGCUACUGCACAUGCAAAAAGAAAACAAAAAAAUGAUGGCAGCCAGGAAACAACAUUCUGAGGAGUGGAAUGCAGACAAACUUCACAGAAAAAUGAUGGGAUGGAAAACAACUUUGAAAUGGGGAAGUGUGGUGUACAGAAAAGGCCCUGGGAAAAUGGUGCAGUGCAGUGCAGAAGUCUGAAGCACAUUCUCUCCACAUUUCAGGGUCAUGAUUUGAAUUGCAAUACUACUUAGAAAUUGAGUUCCCAAGAAGGAACUUGGAGCUAUCUCUAGUUAGGUCUUGGGAGAUUUUGACACCCAUGGACUGCAACUUCAAGCAGUGAAUAGUAUGUGUGAAUCAGCCAUCACAGACCAAACUCCAAAGAACUGCAACAUCACAAGGGGCUCCCUGGCUCUCUUGGAUCAUGUGCCAAUCGAAAACACUGUCAUUGGACAAGCAUUUUCACAAGGGAAGCAUCUCAGCUAUGGCUUAAAUUAGCAUGCAUAUCAUAAAACCAAAGUUGGUUAUAACGCACUUUGGAGCUGACUUCCAAAUCCUGACCUCCAUUUACACCAUUCACAUGGGACACAAAUCUUGUGACGGAGAAGCUCAAAAGUAAAGUUAACUCUCAGGUGGGUCAUUUUUGAGCACUCCCCAAAACCAGACCAAAGGGAGUGUCACUGCCUCUUCUAACAUAUACAGGAAUCUUUGAUUCAAGUCAAAAGUUUUGUCAGACCGUUGACUAUGAAAAUUCAUAGUCCAAAAAUCUUGUUGGUUUUUAAAGUAGUACUGGACUCAAAAUUUAGCUGUGCUACUGCAGGCCAACAUGGCUACCCCUCUGAAACUAUCUACACAGGAACCUUGUGGCUCUUAAAAAAUUAUCCAGUGCAUUAUAGCAUUAUAAGUACCCAAAACAGCAGUAGCAUAUCAUGGGCUCUAGUCCACAAAAGCUUUGGCCACAAGAAAUCUGUUCCUCUUUAAGGUGCCACAAAACUAUUUUAGGUUGUUUUUGUGGCAGCUGACCAACUAUGCAAUUCUAAAGAGAGUUAUGCUUGUCUAAGGCUCAUAUUCCAUAUUUGUAACAUGAAGGGUCAGGGUUCCUUCAGUUUGACUGACAAUGGUCGAAUCCCCACUACCGUCUUAGCCAGGUUUCAGAACACAAACUAACCAGGUUUGAGGUCGUUUGUGUUCUGAAACCUGACUAAGACGGUAGUGGGGAUUCGACCAAUGAGGAGCUCAAAUUCAGAUUGAGGCUGUGGUGUGGGAAUAGGGCUUCCCAGUGUACUUAUGGCUAUACAUGCAGCUCCCUUGCAAGGCAGAUAAUUUCCCCUGGGAUCAUUUUGGAUCAGGAAAAUGUCACAUGGGAGAGGGUUUGGUCUAGAAGGGGGUAAUUUUGCUUGAUAGUGCAGUAAAGUGGCUAUCUUCUGAUAACGUGAGCCCCUUGGGUAUUGAUGGCAUUUUUAAGGAAACACGUCAUUUUGAGAACUGUGAUUCUCACCCUCACAAACAUUCAUGGUCUUAAAUAUGCAUUUCUGAUCUUUUAAAUCCAAAACCAUCAACUGGGCUACAAAGGGGCUCUUCAGGGAGGAAGGGGGGAAUUACCCAGGCCCAGGAUGUAAGCUUGAUCGUUCCAAAAGUCCCAUCAUGUUAAUAUACAGGUUGAACUUUUGUUUGUAUAAAAAAGUAGACUGACAAACACAGGUGAAGGAAUUCAGCUUUUGUGGUCUUUCGAAGUUAAGAUCAUCAUUAACUGUGAAACUGGAAUUUCUCUGCAAUCCUGAGAUGAGUUCGCCACCACGGCAGUCUAAGCUCAUGGAUAUGAAUAGGCUUGGACUUGUAAUAAUUCUGCCCAGGAGCAGCAGUGGCAUAGAGGUUAAGAGCUCGUGUAUCUAAUCUGGAGGAACUGGGUUUGAUUCCCCGCUCUGCCGCCUGAGCUGUGGAGGCUUAUCUGGAGAAUUCAGAUUAGCCU